CUACGGGGGGCAGCAGUGGGGAAUAUUCCACAAUGGACGAAAGUCUGAUGGAGCGACGCCGCGUGCAGGAAGAAGGCCCUUGGGUCGUAAACUGCUUUUGUAAGGGAAGAAUGUAAUGACGGUACCUUACGAAUAAGAGGUUACUAACUCUGUGCCAGCAGUAGCGGUAAUACAGAGACCUCAAGCGUUAUCCGGAUUUAUUGGGCGUAAAGCGCAUGUAGGCGGAUAUAUUAGUCAGAUGUCAAAUCUUCGAGCUCAACUCGAAAACUGCAUUUGAAACGGUAUAUCUAGAGAGAGGGAGAGAUCAAUGGAACAUAUGGUGUAGUAGUGAAAUGCGUUGAUAUCAUAUGGAACACCAAAGGCGAAGGCAUUUGAUUGGUCCUCAUCUGACGCUGAGAUGCGAAAGCGUGGGUAGCGAAUGGGAUUAGAUACCCGGGUAGUC
rnacentral:rRNA from 1 species